rnacentral:lncRNA from 1 species
UCCUCCUCCCAGCAUGCUGGGUAUUGAGGGAAGAAAGCUGAGUUUGAACACUUUACCAGGUAGAGCCCCUUGAAUACCUGAGAAAAGAGCACUUCGCCAGUCCUGCGGGGUCACCUUGGACCAGCUAUACCUUCCAGAGCAGCGAUCCUCCGGGAACCAUCCAAGCCCGCUGUGCAGGCUGACCGCUGUUCAGACCACGUCCAAAAGGAACAAAAAGCUCAGACAGCCCCGAGGCAAGGAUUGGAGGAUGGCCAGGCUCCCCGGAGAGUACACUGUCCCGCUCUGGAAGCAGUCAGAGGAAAGUGGGGGUGUUAAUCCAAUAAUGAGGGUUUAUU